AAGUAUAUGCAUAUUUUAUAUGUAGAAACUGCGAACGGCUCAUUAAAACAGUUAUAAUCUACUUGACAUUUUUUCUAUAAGGAUAACUACGGAAAAGCUGUAGCUAAUACUUGCUUUAGCACUCUUGAUUAAGUUCUUGAGUGUGUACUUGUUAAGCCUUUUAAGAAAAAAGUUAUUAACUUAAGGAAUUAUAACAAAGAAGCAACACGUAAAUGGAUUUUCCAUUUUUUAGUGUGUAUCAAUCGAGUUUCUGACCUAUCAGCUUUUGAUGUUAGGGUAUUGGCCUAACAUGGCUAUGACGGGUAACGGGGAAUUAGAGUUCGAUUCCGGAGAGGGAGCCUGAGAAAUAGCUACCACAUCUAAGGAAGGCAGCAGGCGCGUAAAUUACCCAAUUCUAAAGAAGAGAGGUAGUGACAAGAAAUAACAAUACAAGGCCAAUCUGGCUUUGUAAUUGGAAUGAUGGGAAUUUAAAACCUUCCCAAAACUCAAUUGGAGGGCAAGUCUGGUGCCAGCAGCCGCGGUAAUUCCAGCUCCAAUAGCGUAUAUUAAAAUUGUUGCAGUUAAAACGCUCGUAGUUGAAUUUCAAAGAAUCGAUAUUUUAAGUAGCAAUUUGUAGAUUAAUCCACAUAACUGAUACUACGUAUCGACUUUGUGCGCAUUUUUCUACUUAUGUGUUCUUUUAAUUAAAAUGAUUCUUUUUAAGAUCUUUCUUUUUUGCUUCGGCAUUUUAGGAGAUCUUGUUACUUUGAGUAAAUUAGAGUGUUCAAAGCAAACAGAUUAUAGCAUCUUUAUGCGUUUGAAUACUACAGCAUGGAAUAACAAAAUUGAACAAGUCAGAAUUUUGUUCUUUUUUCUUAUUUUGGCUUAGUUACGAUUAAUAGGAGUAGCUUGGGGGCAUUUGUAUUCAGAUGUCAGAGGUGAAAUUCUUAGAUUUUCUGGAGACAAACAACUGCGAAAGCAUUUGCCUAAAAUACUUCCAUUAAUCAAGAACGAAAGUUAAGGGAGUGAAGACGAUCAGAUACCGUCGUAAUCUUAACCAUAAACUAUGCCGACUAGGCUUUGGAUGAAAGAUUUUAAAAUAAGAGUUUUUUCUCUGAGGAGUUAAAACUCUUAGAUUGCUUCCUUCAGUGCCUUAUGAGAAAUCAAAGUCUUUGGGUUCUGGGGCGAGUAUUCGCGCAAGCGAGAAAGUUAAAAGAAUUGACGGAAGGGCACCACCAGGCGUGGAGCUUGCGGCUUAAUUUGACUCAACACGGGAAAACUCACUAGUUUAAGACAAGAGUAGGAUUGACAGAUUAAUAGCUCUUUCUUGAUUUCUUGGAUGGUGAUGCAUGGCCGUUUUUAGUUCGUGAAUAUGAUUUGUCUGGUUAAUUCCGAUAACGAACGAGAUCUUAACCUGCUAAUUAGCGGCAAAUACGAUAUAUUCUUAUGUGGAAUUGAAUAUAGUUGAUUUGCUUAUUUUGAAGAAAAUAUUGGGAUACGUAAAUGUAUCCCUUUCCCUUUUCUACUUAAUUUGCUUAUCAUACUAUUUCUUUUUUGCGUAAGAAUGUAUUUGCUUGAUUGUAAAGCUUCUUAGAGGAACGAUGUGUGUCUAACACAAG
rnacentral:rRNA from 1 species